rnacentral:rRNA from 1 species
GGGGAAUCUUCCGCAAUGGACGAAAGUCUGACGGAGCAACGCCGCGUGAGUGAUGACGGCCUUCGGGUUGUAAAGCUCUGUUAAUCGGGACGAAAGGCCUUCUUGCGAAUAGUUAGAAGGAUUGACGGUACCGGAAUAGAAAGCCACGGCUAACUACGUGCCAGCAGCCGCGGUAAUACGUAGGUGGCAAGCGUUGUCCGGAAUUAUUGGGCGUAAAGCGCGCGCAGGCGGAUCAGUCAGUCUGUCUUAAAAGUUCGGGGCUUAACCCCGUGAUGGGAUGGAAACUGCUGAUCUAGAGUAUCGGAGAGGAAAGUGGAAUUCCUAGUGUAGUGGUGAAAUGCGUAGAUAUUAGGAAGAACACCAGUGGCGAAGGCGACUUUCUGGACGAAAACUGACGCUGAGGCGCGAAAGCCAGGGGAGCGAACGGGAUUAGAUACCCCGGUAGUCCUGGCCGUAAACGAUGGGUACUAGGUGUAGGAGGUAUCGACCCCUUCUGUGCCGGAGUUAACGCAAUAAGUACCCCGCCUGGGGAGUACGACCGCAAGGUUG